rnacentral:rRNA from 1 species
AUUGAACGCUGGCGGCAGGCCUAACACAUGCAAGUCGAGCGGGAACUUCGGUUCUAGCGGCGGACGGGUGAGUAAUGCGUAGGAAGCUACCCGACAGAGGGGGAUACCAGUUGGAAACGACUGUUAAUACCGCAUAAUGUCUACGGACCAAAGUGUGGGACCUUCGGGCCACAUGCUGUCGGAUGCGCCUACGUGGGAUUAGCUAGUUGGUGAGGUAAUGGCUCACCAAGGCGACGGUCCCUAGCUGGUUUGAGAGGAUGAUCAGCCACACUGGAACGGGGCGCCGGUCCAGAAUCCUACGGGAGGCGGCAGUGGGGAAUAUUGGACAAUGGGCGCAAGCCUGAUCCAGCCAGGCCGCGUGUGUGAAGAAGGCCUUCGGGUUGUAAAGCACUUUCAGUAGGGAGGAAGGGGUUGUAGUUAAUAGCUGCAACUUUUGACGGUAAGCGGAAAAGAAGCCCCGGCUAACUUCGUGCCAGCCGCCGCCGUAAUAC